rnacentral:lncRNA from 1 species
GCCAAACAAAAAAGGUUUUUUCAGCAUUAUCUGUUUAAAUUUUUCAACAUAUUUAUAAGCCAUUUGUUUUUCUUUUUUAAUUUUCUGUUCAAGUUCUUUACCCAUUUUAAACAUUUUUUGAUAUAUAUCUUUUUUCCAUUAAUUGAUAAGAAUUGUUUAAACAGGAAAAAUCAACAUUUUGUCACAUAUGCUACAAAUAUUUUUCAUGUGACUGAAGACUUUAAUUAUUUUACAAGUAUUAGGGGAAAUAAAGCAAGACAGAGACUUCCCUGAAGAACUCACACAUAUGCUUCAAAAGAAAGCCAGUGUUUUUGUUGCCAAUCAGUGUUGGCCUGAGGAGUAGCAGCAACCAAGGUGGGAAGUCCAUUUGCACAUGAGCUAACCUGCCAUCUUUUCUAUCAAAUCCAACCACAGACAAGGCAAGAACUUCGAGAGGUGAGAGGAAAUAAAAGAAAUGGUUUCACCCCUUGCUCUGAGGUGCUGGUGGGAAGAGAAUGUGAAGCCUCCUGCAGGAACAUGGAAGAUGGGUCCUGCGACAAGGAGGGAGAAAGGCUAUCAGGGUUAUCUCUGUCAACACCAGUGAUUUUAGAGAGAAUGACAAAUAUAGAAGAUGUGGAAGACAAGUACUGGACAUGUCCUGAUCAAGACAAAUAUUGAAAGGUGAUUUUUAAAAUAUAGCUCCCUAGUAGCAGCUUUGUUGAUCUGACUCUUUCUCAUAAAAGCCAGUUACAUUUUUAAUUUCCUACUCAUUAGAAAUUCCAACUAUAUAAAGCCUAUGUCUUAUUACAGAAAACUAAAAAUGCUUAAGCCUGCACUAUUUUAAUUCCAUUUUACUGGUAGGAUUUUGUAAUAAGUUAAAACAAGUAUAAUUAGGAGUUCCCAUUGCAGCUUAGUGGGUUAAGAACCUGAUCUUGUCUCUCUGAGGAUGUGGGUCCAAUUCCUGGUCUCGCUCAGUGGGUUAAGGAUUCGGCAUUUCUGUGAGCUCUCACGUAGGUCACAGCUGCAGCUCAGAUCUGGUGUUGCUGUGGUUGUGGUGUAGGCCAGCAACUGCAGCUCCAAUUCAACCCCCAGCCAGGGAACUUCCAUAUACCACAAGUUUGGCCAUAAAAAGAAAAAAAAAAAACAAGCAAAAAACAAGUUUAAUUAAUCAAGCAGUGUCUAUAAAGAUGCCUAAAUUUAAACAGUAUUUGACCAUAGAUAUUUCUCAGGCUAUAACAUAAAAGCUAUACUAUAGCGGAAAGGGGGGGUUAAUGAAACAGCCAAUUUCUUCAAAGAAAAUAUAUCAAAUAGAAAAUAUGAUACAAUAAAGUUAUGUGGCAUCUAGACCA